AAGUAAAGGCCGACUUGUGGGCCAUGAAAAGGCCUAAAUAAUCAGUUGCUAUACUACAUACAAGGUCACCGGGUUGGCGAUACACACACUAGGCCAGUAUUUUAAACAAACUACUAAGGAGGCUAGGUAAAAAUAUGAGGUAGCCCAGAGAUUUACUAUUAUUAAAGUAAAAACAAUAUUUACUUCUCGGGUUGUUAAAAAAUUUUUUAGUGCGGGAUAGGCAACUUAAGCUUUAAAACGAUCGGCCCCAUUUACUUAAAGCCCAGCGCUGGCAAGUAUCACCGAAAAUUGAGCCGGCAAUUAGUUAUUGCUAAACCCAGUGGUUAUUUAGUUUCUGGCUGUGUAAUCGAACGGUGCCAGCACUAGCGGUUAGACCCCAAGCCAUAGUUGUUUAUGAGCGGUUGAAGCCUAGCUAACAAGAAUUUACUCUUUAAUUGGUGAAAUAAGAAAGGAGAUGAUCGUUUCGGUACGUAGCGGCUUAAAGUUAAAGUAAGUUAGAGACGAGGAUUAGUGCCCUCUUAUUCUUAAACCUAAUUGUUUACCGGGUCAGUACGUGUGACGUGCAUGAAAGCCAAACUUGGUGACGGUUAUCUAACAAUGCAGUGGAGCUUGGGCCUUAAUAUGUCGAUCCGCAUGAACCCAACCCCCCUUGAGAAUAGAUUUUUCUUAAAGAGAAAAUAGGUAGGCAUAAAUAAUAUUUUAUGUCUACACAGUUGCUGUAUGGCUGUCCAAGUGUGAAGGUUACUUUACAGUGAAAACCCUACCGUGGCUAGUUACUAUAAUUUCACUUUUAUAAAUAGAAGUAAGUAGUGUAGAUGGAUAAUUUAAAAGGUUAGUAAGCUUUUAGGUUUAUCCUGUGUCGGUUAAUCCCGGCGGUAGAAAAAAGUCAGGUGAUAUUGUGCCUAAAGGAGGGAGAGCUUGAGCUACUUUAGAUAAGAUUUCACUUUCUUUGAAACAUUACCUAGUUCAGAAGGAAUUGCAAGUAAACCCUAAAUUAGCACUUAGAGUUGAAUAUGUUAACUAGAUAGUGUACAUACCGCCCGUCACCCGCCCAGUAAUGGGUGGUAAGUCGUAACAUGGUGAGUGUUGGUGAACCAGUACUUUAUUAACAGUUUUAACCCCCAAGGGUGAAAAAAGUUUUUUAUUUUCCAAGUCCUAAAUAUUGGAAAAAUUGUUCUUAUUCUCCUACUAUAAAUCAGAAAAACGAAUAGAAAUUUUUUAAACCCGAUAUAAGUAUAAAUUUUCAGGCA
rnacentral:rRNA from 1 species